rnacentral:rRNA from 1 species
AGCGUGCGGUUUAAUUGGAUUCAACGCCGGAAAACUCACCGGGGGCGACGGUUAUAUGAAGGCCAGGUUGAUGACCUUGCCUGAUUUUCCGAGAGUGGGUGCAUGGCCGUCGUCAGUUCCGUACCGUGAGGCGUUCUUGUUAAGUCAGACAACGAACGAGACCCUCAUCUUUAGUUGCAACUGGUAAGUUCGCUUACAAGGCACACUAGAGAAACCGCUGGCGAUAAGUCAGAGGAAGGCGAGGGCAACGGUAGGUCAGUAUGCCCUGAAUCCCCCGGGUACACGCGCGUACAAAGGUAGGACAAUGGGUUUCGACACCGAAAGGUGGAGGUAAUCCCGAAACCUAGUCAUAGUUCGGGUUGAGGGUUGUAACUCACCCUCAUGAAGUUGGAAUCCGUAGUAAUCGCGGAUCAACAU